AAGAGGUGUAAAUAAACCAUUAGAACUGCUAACUCAAAUAGCUAAGGAUAAUACCCUUAGGCCUCUUA
rnacentral:tRNA from 3 species